GGAUGGAUAUAUCGCCACCAGGGGGCGUAUUUAGUUUUGAGUUCUGAGUGUCUGAUGGGGGGAUGGGUUAUUUAAGGUCAACCAUGAUUCUGUUCAGGUGUUGUUAAUAGGCUGAGGCAAACAGUUUUCUACUGUGCUUAGUUUGGAUGUAGGUCGAAUUUAUGUGGAUCUAAAUGGAAACAGUAAGGCAAUGGACAUUGUUCUGACAAUAAAUGACUUUAUUUUAUGUCAAACGGAAGAUCGGCAUUAUGAAUCUAGCGCACGUAAAACCAAUGCCUUUCAAGAACAACCAGUAGCCUAAAAUAUAGGAUUUUAGCAGCUACAAUAUCUGUUCAGAAGUUCUGAUGUGAAUCUGAUGACGUUGUUUUUAAAUAUUAAUUCAUAUGUUCUGGUUAGUUGCUCAGUACUUGAGUCGUCAUUUACCAAAUAUUUUUUUUACUUUUAUGUAACGGGUAUUAGUGAAAUUCUUGCUAAAAUUUGUGUCGUAGUUGCCCUGUGAUGGGUGUUUUUUUAGCGCCCUCUAUGGUUGCCAUAGACGACAGGAAACCGGAAAUUCUCCACAGUCUGCUCAGUGCUCCGCUGUGAUUACAGGUGCUCUGUUGGACCUUGCAUGAAACCAGAGAGGGUUAAAAACCGUCUGUAGGACCCAGAUUGAUUCAAAGGGCUGAUCAAGUGCAGAUCAAGUUCACAAUGCAGCUUAUCGGAGUUCUGAUCCUGUUUCUCUCUUUCUCUGCAGCCCUACCUGUACAAAGUCUACCACAAGGAAGCCUUGGACCUUCACACCCUCCAAGGACGGAUCAAACUACUGCCUACAUCACUCCAGGGAUGGUUCCAGUUAUGCCAUCAAUAAACAGUGGGAUGGUAGACUUACCGGCAUUAACCUCCCACUUGACUUCAUCAAGCAGAACACCUGUGAUUUAUUCAUGCGUUUCAGGUUUAAAAGAUUUUUUUCUAAACCUGAAAUAUUUAAGAAUUUAUCCCCUCUUUAUAUCAUGGCUAAAACCUGUAGCUAACUAAAUGUUUAAACCUCUCAACCUGCAAAAUAUUUUUACAUUAGUUUGUUUGGAAAAUAAGGGUUUUAUAUUUAAUAAGUCACUUUAUUGUGAUAGCAUCAUUACAUGUAUAAGCUUUACUACAUUGAAAUGUUCCCUUUACAAACAUGAGUGUAAAUAUGAAAUAGACGCAUUUUGCCUCACUUUCAGAUUGAUUUUCUAUAAGUUUGAAGUGGAAUACUAAAAGUACGUUAUUUUUUUAUUUCUUUAAACUGUUUUUAAAUACAGUGCAAUAAAAAUCUGUUAAUAGUUACUGACUUUGGCAUUUUUACGUUUCUUUUUCUAAAUGACAUAUUCUAAUAUCCUGAAUAAACACCAGUCAGAACUGAAAGUAAUGCUGAGUUUUUAGGAGGAGUUUAUAUUCAGGUCAAGUUAGAGUGGGUUUACGUACAAAAAUAAAGUGAAAGAAUAAAGGGCUAAAAGAAAAAAAAAUUUUCUACGCACAGCCUACGUUCAUCAUGAAGCUUUACGGAGUUCUUGUCCUGUUUGUAACUUUUUCUAUUGGUAAGAAUUAUUUGAAUUUAACAAAAAAGGGAGAAAUAAAAGAAAGAUUAGGUUUUAUAAGCAAUUCAGGUUUUGUCCUAAAGUUUAGGAGUAUCUCUAUGACUUGAUUCAAAGCUGUAAGUCAUAUAUUUGUUUAAAGCUCUCAUUAUUAGUGUACAAAACAUUUGAACUGGAUUUUAUUUAUUUUUUUUAUUUUAAACCAAAUUUUGAGUCUUGUUUUUGUUGAAGAUUGGUUGAUUUACUCAUUUCUGUAAAAACAAUUAGUACAGAAAUGAACUCAUUAAUGUACUGAAUUCUGUAUUAAGAGUUUGGAUUGAACAGUGUUAAUGCUGUGUUCAACAGUACAAACAAUUUCCUUAUGUUUUUACCAUUAAAGGCUUUAAGACUUUCUUUUCAUUUAACUGAAAAUUUGUAUUUAAGCAGCUUGUAAGUUUAAUAAGAAAGACACACAUCUGUCAAGUUCUUAGCUUGUUUUUGUUGUCAUUGAUAAUUAUGUCAAAUUCUUUUAAUUCUUC